UACAGAGGGUGCAAGCGUUAAUCGGAAUUACUGGGCGUAAAGCGCGCGUAGGCGGCUUUGUAAGUUAGAGGUGAAAGCCCGGGGCUCAACCCCGGAACUGCCUUUAAAACUGCAUCGCUUGAAUCCAGGAGAGGUGAGUGGAAUUCCGAGUGUAGAGGUGAAAUUCGUAGAUAUUCGGAAGAACACCAGUGGCGAAGGCGGCUCACUGGACUGGUAUUGACGCUGAGGUGCGAAAGCGUGGGGAGCAAACAGG
rnacentral:rRNA from 1 species